GCCAGCAUAGCAUACUGGUUUGAGUGUUGGACUAUGACUCUGUAGACCAGGGUUCAAAUCCCAGCUCAGCCA
rnacentral:tRNA from 1 species